AGUAUUUAUGGUGCACCGCAAAAGAGUAAGUUAAAGCAAGGCUUUUUCAAGUGAAAAAGCCUUGCUCAACUUA
rnacentral:tRNA from 1 species